rnacentral:tRNA from 1 species
GCCGUGAUAGUAUAGUGGUAGUACAUCAGAUUGUGGCUCUGUUGACCCUUGGUUCGAUUCCAGGUCGCGGCA